AUUGAACGCUGGCGGCAGGCUUAACACAUGCAAGUCGAACGAAGUGGCGAACGGGUGAGUAACGCGUAAUCAACCUGCCCUUCAGAGGGGGACAACAGUUGGAAACGACUGCUAAUACCGCAUACUGAAGGAGGGGAUGGCGUCUGAUUAGCUAGUUGGGGGGGUAACGGCCCACCAAGGCGAUGAGCAGUAGGCGGUCUGGGAGGAUGGACCGCCACAUUGGGACUGGGACACGGCCCAAACUCCUACGGGGGGCAGCAGUUGGGAAUCUUCCGCAAUUGACGGAAGUCUGACGGAGCAACUCCGCGUGAGUGAUGACGGGCUUCGGGUUGUAAAGCUCUGUUAAUCGGGACGCGGUACCGGAAUAGAAAGCCACGGCUAACUACGUGCCAGCAGCCGCGGUAAUAC
rnacentral:rRNA from 1 species